ACCUUACCUCUUGCCGCGUUGUCUCGGCGGGAGGCGGUGGGCGUCUCGCGCCCCUAGCGGGCCGUGCCGCUCCCGUCCCCGCCGGCGGCGCCAAACUCUAAAUUUACAGCGGACUGUACGUUCUGAUUUACAAAAAAAAACAAGUUAAAACUUUCAACAACGGAUCUCUUGGUUCUGGCAUCGAUGAAGAACGCAGCGAAAUGCGAUAAGUAAUGUGAAUUGCAGAAUUCAGUGAACCAUCGAAUCUUUGAACGCACAUUGCGCCCGGCAGUAAUCUGCCGGGCAUGCCUGUCCGAGCGUCAUUUCUACCCUCGAGCGAGUCCAGCAUCUAGGUGCUGUGCCCGCCCGGCGUUGGAGCACUACGGGAAGCCCUGUGCUGUCCCCCGUAGGCCCCGAAAUGAAGUGGCGGUCCUGCCGCGGCGCCCCCUGCGUAGUAUAACAGCUCGCUUCGGGACCCGGUGGAGGCCUGCCGUCAAACCUAUAUUCU
rnacentral:rRNA from 1 species